ACAUUUUGAAACCUGAUUCAGAGUGCAUUCCCGGUCACCCACAUCCUGAAGACGUGUCAGGAAAACCGCAAGCUUAAGCUUCUUCCCCUUACUUCCUUCCUUCCCCCUUUCCUCCCUCCCUCCCUCCCUCCUUCUCUCCCUUCUUUCACAGAAUCAACUCAAGCAUUUCUGUCAUGCUUGCUGUCCUACUCCCUGCAAGUUACAUCCCAGCUGAAGCGUGACCCCCAGAUCACCACAGGACUCUGGGGCCACGGUGUGUCCGCUAUGACCCUGCUGGCUAAAGGACACAGUUGCUAGUCCACCCGGAAAUGCCAGUGAUAUUCUUGAUAUCCUGACCAUGUGAAUAAUGGGAGCGUGUUCUCUUCUUGAUCAUGUCUCAACUAUUCUUGAAAAGACAAGCACCAACACCUUCCAGAAAUCCUGAGAAAUCACCAGGCAACCAUCCAAGACACAGACGGCAGCAGAGGCCAACUUAACCAUCCACACAGAAUGAAUCUAAAUAUCACAUGAAACUUUCUCUGCAAAUUAAGCGUUCUGAGAAGUCAAGCAACCACUGUCUUCUCCUUUCAUCUUCCGUUUCCUGAUCUUACCAGUGCAUCGGGUCAGGUGGUCAUAUAUGCUUAGCAGAACUGCAGGACACUGGACAUACUAUGGAGGCCUCAGCCUCUUUCUCUCCUGCUCCCUUGCUGUGGAGUAACUUCAUCCAUCACGCUGUCCUAGUGGCUUCUUCAGAUUAUCAAAGUUCCAAUAAUCGUCUCUAGGGGACAUGUCUCUAAAUGCCAUUCAGAAGUUUUAGCAUAAUUUUUAGUUGAUUCUCCCGAAUUUCCGAACACCAUGCACCCCAAACCCACUCAUUUCCCAGUCCUCCCAUAUCCUCCCUCCACCCUUGUAACCCCCAAAAGAAACAUUUUAAAAAUUAAAAAUUAAAAACAUUUCUUACCAUGGAA
rnacentral:lncRNA from 1 species